CAGCAGCCACGGUAAUACGAGGGGGGCAAGCGUUGCUCGGAAUUAUUGGGCGUAAAGGGUGCGUAGGCGGUUUGGUAAGUCUUGUGUGAAAUCUUCGGGCUCAACUCGAAGUCUGCACGAGAAACUGCCGGGCUUGAGUGUGGGAGAGGUGAGUGGAAUUUCCGGUGUAGCGGUGAAAUGCGUAGAUAUCGGAAGGGACACCUGUGGCGAAAGCGGCUCACUGGACCAUAACUGACGCUGAUGCACGAAAGCUAGGGGAGCAAACAGGAUUAGAUACCCCUGUAGUCCCUGUCUCUUAUAA
rnacentral:rRNA from 1 species